GGCGUCGCAGGGCAGCGUGGGGAUGGACUUCGGAACUAGAGCGCCGUGGGUUGAGAACGCCGCUCCGCCUGACGUCCCACGUGGUAGUGAUUUUUGCGGUGGACGGUGUUAACAGAAGAGCCGCUCGUCUCCCGGCAGCUUUCUCGCCGUGUUAGUGCUUCCUGUUACUUCGAUCUGCCGCGUCUUCUGUGCUUGUGGUUCGAAUCCCCGGGUUGCUCUUCGUGGAGUGGAAGCCAAAAUCUUGGUUGAGCUGUCAGAAGAAAUGGUGAACAGGUGGCCACCUACAAGUUCUUUGUAUGUUUAAUUACAGUUAACUACAUCACCUCUGUCUGCGCUGUCACUUCCCAUUUCUGGCGCUUCCUCGUGGCCUGAUGGCGUUCUAAAUCUUUCCAAGGCGCUGCUUGGAAAGUCCGCACCUGCGUGAUGUGUAGUAGUUCCGACCCCUUGAACAGAGAUCGUAAUUAAAAGGGAACCUGGAAAAUUAAAGAUGGUGCGGAGAGAAAUUGCUCUUGUUCAUCAAGGGGUAUUGUGUGGAAUAGUGUGCUAACUUUUUCAAUUUAUGAAUUCUAAAGAACCCAA